UCAGAAAUUGUAAACGCAAGUAGAUAUUCAAAUGAAACUUUGAAAGCUUAAUCUUUUUGAGUUACGGUGAGAAAAAAAACAAGUAGAUAUUAUGGUGUUAGUUUUCUUUACAUUUUCAUCAUUGAUAAAAGCUAUACCUAUAUCAAUACAAAAACAGUUUAUAGUAUAUGACAGUACUCUUCUAAGAGAAAUGCUUUAUAUAUGUGAUGUGUAUAAUAAGAUAGCCGAAUUAAAUGAUCUCUCCAAAAUUCCUUUUUUCACGUACCCACUUUAUGCUCUCAACCUAUAGGCUAGGAGCCUAGGAAGUUGGUGUUGGCAGUUUGGAUCCAAUCAUUAACAAACUAAAAACAAAAAGUUUUAUAACGAUGGAAUAUUACGUUGUAAAAGUUGGAUAUAAAAUUUAACCAGUUCGAAAGACGUUAUAAAUUUUUUUUUUAACCAGUUCGUUUGACCAAAAAAUAAUUUAACCAAUUUUAUUUUCUCUUCAUGCUGACCAUGAUGGUUACAACUUACAAGGAUGAAGAAUAUAUACGAAACAAAACAAAAGUCUAGGAAAACGAUUAUUAAAAUCUAUCCUAUACUAAAAGGAAGAUAUAGAGUGAUUUUAGCAUGUCCACGUUGGACUAAAAAAUCAUCCAAUAAGAGAUUUCUAUUUUGUCAUGUCAUACCUUACGCUCAGGCGCUUUACGUUUGUUGCGUUGAAGUGAUGUAGGCUCAGUUUGGGCUUCACUUCUAUUUUUAUGAAUUGAGCAUGUUUCUUAUUUGAGGUCCAUAUGUAUUAGUUUCUUCUUCCUCCUUCUUGCGACUGAUUCUUCCCCGACGAAACCACACAGAGUUUCCUUUGCUAACCGUAACAUCUCACAAAUCCUUUAAUCCGUCAUUAAAUUUGGAUUUUCCCUUCAUUAGUCCACAACUCCCACAUUAAAAUUUCGAUGUACCUUUUCGUUUCCACUGUAACCCCUGAAUCUACAUCUAUAAAUAUCGGAUCUUCCUAGCAUGCAAAGUCCACACUCACACAAACUCGAAAAGCAAACAAAUAGACCCACACACUCUUUUUCUUGAAGACUCCGCAGCCUUGAUCGGAACUUCUCAUCGUCAAAGCUCUGUUUCUUUUCAUCUUACCGGCCACCAAAAUUGGAGACUACAGAACGAGGAUCAAUCGAAACAACGUCUUAAAUGCUGUCGUUAACACUAUCUCCACCAUUACUUCCUUUUUGUGAAUCCGGGAGAAUCCUCAACUAUGGAAGGAGCCAAAAGAGAACUGGCCUCCAUGAAGAAGCUUUGGCACUAUAUUGUCUACGGGAGAUGACAAUACUCAUUCAAGGCACCUUUUCCUAUCUACAGAUACACUACAUCAAAGUCUUCGAUUGACCUCUUCAAUUCAUCGUCACCGUCUUCUACACCCCUGGGAAUCGCUGUAAUACAUUUCACGUGGUGAGUUUCUUCAUUGAACCAAAGCUGCUCCACUGAAAUCUUGCCUCAAGAAGCUGGGAACACUAUUUCCUCCCAUCUAUGUUUCAUAUUGGAAUAGAAGAAGAGUAAGAUGAAGAAAUGACUAUCAGGAAAACGAGUUAUGUUCAACAUUAAACUCGGUGACGGUUGAAGAAGAAUGGAAGAGAAGGGAGUUUCAGACUCUCAACUUACGCUGCUCAUGUUUUUAUCUAACAGGUCACAUGGAACUUUUUAACCGUUCAAAAGGGCAGCAUCAAAACCUAGACAGAUGUUUCUUUUUUUUUCUUUUUUUCUCUUUGAACAUCAAUUACUGAUAAAAAUAUUUUAUGCUUGACAUAUUCUUCAAUAUCGAA